rnacentral:rRNA from 1 species
AGUGAACGCUGGCGGCAGGCCUAACACAUGCAAGUCGAGCGGAUGAAGGGAGCUUGCUCCUGGAUUCAGCGGCGGACGGGUGAGUAAUGCCUAGGAAUCUGCCUGGUAGUGGGGGAUAACGUCCGGAAACGGGCGCUAAUACCGCAUACGUCCUGAGGGAGAAAGUGGGGGAUCUUCGGACCUCACGCUAUCAGAUGAUCCUAGGUCGGAUUAGCUAGUUGGUGGGGUAAAGGCCUACCAAGGCGACGAUCCGUAACUGGUCUGAGAGGAUGAUCAGUCACACUGGAACUGAGACACGGUCCAGACUCCUACGGGAGGCAGCAGUGGGGAAUAUUGGACAAUGGGCGAAAGCCUGAUCCAGCCAUGCCGCGUGUGUGAAGAAGGUCUUCGGAUUGUAAAGCACUUUAAGUUGGGAGGAAGGGCAGUAAGUUAAUACCUUGCUGUUUUGACGUUACCAACAGAAUAAGCACCGGCUAACUUCGUG